CGUCACUGGGGCGGUAGGGUGCUUGCAGCUGGGCAGUUUUCUCCUCAGCGUGUAGCCUGGUAACCACGACCUCUCCGCCAGGUCCUGUGUGUUGCUGGCUGGAGAAGGGUAGUUGAAAACUCAGACCAAGCACAGUGUUUAUUUUGGUCAAAACUAGAAGACUAUGUCCAGGCGCGGCCGAGGCUGGAGGACCCCUUCAGGCCAAGAGCAACCUAGCAAUAUGGCGCGACCGGAUCUCUGUAGUCCUACCUCAGCCCCCCAGCUAAUUGAACCCCAAAGUUCGAGGCUCCAAUGAGCUAUGAUCCCACCACAGCAUUGCAGCCUGCCAGACUGAGACAUGAACUUAUGAAUUCAACACAUGAAGACUUACAACUUGAUAAACCAGCUUUAGGAGAUUGUGAAAACUUGUAUUCCUGUGAUUUCGAUAGCGAAGGAAGUAUGGUAUACCAGAAUCACUAAAUUAUGAAAGAUGGU